UACAUCACUUAGUGACAAUAAUAGGGAAGAUUAAAAAAAAACAAAUAUUUCUGUAUCUAAUUUGCUCCAGGUCUUUCCUUUCUCUAAGUCUGUAAAAUUGAGAAUGGUAUAAAAUUGGAAAAGGACAAGAUUAUCUUACCCUUGCAAAAAAACCAAAGCUUCUGAUCCUGGGAUGGAGCAAUUAUGAGAAUCUUCACAUUGUUUUUCUAAGCUAUACAAUACAUGAUCCAGUCUAUACAUCCUUGGAAACAUUUUCUAAAAGAUCAUUGAAAACACCUGCAGUUGAAACUAGUUAUUCAUUUCACUACUGUUUUAGUUUUAAAUACUGCUUUGAUUUUGUACUGCAUUACCAGGUAAAACAGAUGGGUAUUUGUUAGUUUUGUGGUAAUCAAAAUUCUAGUUAGAAGGAUAAUUGAUAUCAACCAUGAAGUGAUUCAACAGGUUGAUGAGACACACCAGGAUUUUUAAAAAAGAAGAAAAUGUGUGUAAUCAUGGAGCUGACAAGCCCUGAACAUAUAAGUUUCACAGCAGGUUGCAGAAAUUCCCGUGAUCAUGGAGAUGAUGUGAAUCACAAGGCCAAACUAAAGGACAAAAAUAAUUUCGAGCCAAUAUUAUAAGUUGCAGGAAAUAAAUGUAUUUGAUCAAAUACCAGUGAAAGGGUGUGGGUUCAAAAAGUAAUUGACAUGCUAGGCAUGAGCUUCCUCUAAGGAAGCUGAAGAAAAACUUAAUACAUUUAACACUCAUUAACGUGUGACUGAGCGUUCCUUUCUUUCACAUAGCCAUGUCCCCAGUUCUUCGCAUAGCCCCCCGCUGUUAGACAAGCUCACUAGUGAUCAUUUAAGAUUUUUUAAAGAUAAAAGGCAAUACCUUCCAUCAUCAUUGUUUUUCUGUAUAUUCAAAAUCAAAAUACCUAAGCUAGUUUUAAAUUUGAAAUCCUCUUUUCUGUCAUUAAGGAAACAUCUGAGUGGCUACUGUGUGAUAGACAAUAUGCUAAGCACAGGGAAUACAAGAUGAUUAGGAUAUUUACCUCUUAUGAGCUUGAUGUCAAGUUAGAAAGAUGUUUGGAUAAAAUCACAAUGCAUCAUAAUUGCCAUAGUAAAAAUAUCCAAACUUCUUUAGAAACAAAGACAUACGAUGAAAGCUACUUGCAUGAUGGGGGUGUUGAAACUGAUGUCUGAGCUGGGUCUUGGUAAAUGUGAAAGUUUGCCACAUAGAGAGGAGAGGUAGAAGCACAGUCCAGGUGGAGGGCCGGAGGAGCAGCACCACAGGCACAGAAACAGAAGGUAGGGAGGUGUGUUCAGACUUCUCAGCCAGCGAGUGGUUGGCGACAGAAUUCAUGGGAAAAGUAGCAAAUAUUGGGGUGAAGAAACAGGCGGGUGCCAGGUUCUGGAGGACCUUACGUACCUAUAAGAAAUGGGGAGCCAUUUAAGCAUUUUCAGUAAAGUCAGGGAGAACAAUGAGAUUAUUAUAAUAUAAGUGAGAAAUUAGGCCUUGAAUUUAAGGGGCAGAGGGGACAGGGAAAAGAACAAUAGGACAGGACUUUGAUCAUUUCUACAUGAUGAGGAAGGAAACCAUUCUGCAACGUGAUGAUCUCUUUCCCUCAAGGUCAGUGCUCUGGCACGGGGGAGGCUGAAAGGACAAGUACAAGUAGGACGUGUAAACAAAGUGGUGGAGGAAAACAGGCUCCAAAUCACUGCUGACAAAGACAGAACAGAGAGAAGAGGAGCAACAUCUGAAUCUAGCUGUCUGUAAGGUGCAGAGAGACUCUCUCUCUUUUAUAGUCAAUUACAGCUUUUUCUAGGGGGAGCCCAUAGGGACAGCAUAUAGAGUAAAGAAUCUGACAAUCUUCUAAUAGCUGUUUUUAAAAAUAAAAACAGCUAAGCA